rnacentral:lncRNA from 1 species
GCGGAUGAGGACCGAGUUCGUAUGCAUAAGCACUGAGAGCCUGCCUCUUAGUAGCGGUCUGGAUUGGAGUCCACCAGGCAGCGGCGUUGGGGGUCAGCAGUGUGUGAUCUUAGAACUGGGACCCCUUAGACUAGGAGCCCUACUGAUCGCAUGACUUCAACGUCUCUGAGCGCUACCUGCGUCGCACAUCAGACAGUGACAGUGCCUUUCCCACUUCAGCCUCCUUCAGAGAACAAGAACACCAGGCCAAGCCAUUUGUCUUUUGGGUUUGCUCCGGAAGAGGCAGAGGCCCCAGAACAUUGUGAUAUCCUGGCAGACAUUCAGCCGUGGCCAGUAGUGAGCAGAGAUUCAAUCUUCAUAGACAUGAACAACCCAGGCAGAGCUUCCCCUCUUCUUGAAUCUUUAGCCCCAUGUUCAGAUUCAACCACGAGAUGGUGGAAACCCAGGUAAUGCUCAUACGCUGUCCCAACAGUGCCUUUCUCUGGACAGUGGAGACAGUACCACCUCAUGAGAACAGUGCUCCCUGUAAAUCAAGCAGAUUCACCUUUGGCCUACUCUUCCUUUCCUUUUAAACCAAAGUUCACUUCUUCCAGGAAGCCAUCCUGGAAUGCUGUGGUCCCAGAUAAUAGCGUUUCACGUGCUCAUGUGUUGCUUGAGAAAUAUUUUAAAAUUUCUUUUUCUCUUAGCCCCACUUCAGGACUUAGGAAGUAAUUAAGGAGAGGAUCUUUUAGGGAGGGGACCAAGUCAUCUAUUAAUUUUUUCUCUCCUCUUUCCUGCCUAGACUCACAUAAAGUGCUGCAUUGGGGAACACUGUACAUAUAUUAGAAAUUUUCCUACAUUCAAGACCAGCACUUGAGUUUUACAGUUUGUAGAAUCUAGGACUUAUCAACAGUAAGAUGAGUCACUAUUUUAUGUCCCACUAAGAAAAAGAAAACACUCCCAGUAAAGCUGUAGCAUGCCAGUGAUGGUAGGUCUGCCCAGAUUUUGGCAGUGUUAAUGCCCAUCUUCGGCGCCAGCAACUCUGGUCACUGUCCCUUUGGUUCUGGGAAUGCACGUGGCUCAAAUGAGCCAAGAGCCUGCUGGGUUCCUGGUCUCUGCCCUCUGGUCUUGGAGAGGACAGUGAAGGUAGGCAGCAGCAGAAGCAUUGCUUUACCUGCACAGUGCUUUGUAGACCACAGGUCACCUGGGCACUGGCACCCCCAGCAGAUAGAGAAAGUAACCAAGUGGAGACAAUCAGGAAAAGGCCAGCUCACUGCCUAGAGCACCCGUACAACCUGGGGGAACAAGUGACGCUUACACAUCAUGAAAGUUGGGCACACCCCACUUGUGUGGCAUAGAGCCUAGAGGGCAGAGUUGGGGAAGGGAGGAGCUGGGCAAGGAAAGAAAAGCUAACCACACCAGUCAGUAAGUAAGUAACUUGUGAGUUACUUGUGAGUAAGCCACAGCAGGAAGUUAAGGUCCAGCGUGGCAUGGGCUGGGGAGCCAGGGAGCCCAACAAGCUAUCAAAGCAAACAAAAAAAGCAGGGGCUUGUUAGGGACUGAACAUUGGUGUCUCCCCAUCUGUACACUGAAGUCCUAAUCUCCAACAGGAUACUAUUUGGAGGUGGAUCUCUGGGAGGUAAUUAAGGUUAGGUGAGGUCAUGAGAGCAGGAAGCCAUGAUAGGAUUAGUGUCCUUAUAAGAAGAAACCCCAGAGAGCUCGACACCCCCACCACCCUGCCCACACCUGGGCAAGGAAAGGCCCAGACCAGGAAGAGGGCCUCAGAAAAGGCAAGUUACCAGCCUCCAGAACCGUGAGAAAUAAACGUGUACUGCUUUAAGCACUGCAUCUGUGGUACUUUGUGAUGGAAGCCUGUGCUACCUAAGGCAGGAGAGCUUCUAAAGAAAUCAAAAGGCUUCUUGGUGCCUGACUGCACCAGAAGCAAAAAGAACAGCAAAGAAAGAAUAAGGCCCCAGGGUUUUGAGAAACGGACACAGCCUGGCAGAAUCAGAAAAGAGGCUGGUUUGACUCCAGAUGGAGGUGAGGUCGGGCUGGACUCCUGAGUCUGGUUAGGGUUGUGCUGGUUUAGGGCAGUCAGCCUUGGGAAAUGGCCAGAAACGCACACAGCAGCUCUCUGGAAGGCAGAAGAGAUAUGCAUAGGAGGUAGGUGUUUGCACCUCAAGGGAGAGAAGGAGGGAAAGGGUAGCAAGAAGCAGCUCCACGGAGGGCUCUGGAAGCUGUUGAGUGGUAAAUGAGAAUGAGGACUCAAGAGAGAACCUUGGUUUGGUGAGAAGGUACUGGCAACCUUUGAGUCACCUGCAGUUUCAUUAGAGGGUUGGAGGAAAAGAGCCAGCUAGCAAAAAGUUAAGGAUGAAAUGCAGUGAAAUGCAGGCAGUACCGUUUAGUGUGCUAGCUCCAGAGGCCUGGCUGGGGGAAACUAAAUAAACAAGAGGGAACAGCAGGGACCAUGUAUGACAGGCUAGGCCUGCAGGUGCUGGACGACAAGCAGGGGAAGUGCAGAGGAGGAGAGGUAAGAUGCUAGCGUGGAAGGGGGGUGCCCACCUGUAGUGGAAGA